UACGGGGGGGGGCAGGCGUUGUUCGGAAUUACUGGGCGUAAAGGGCGCGUAGGCGGUUGGAUAAGUCAGCUGUGAAAACCACGAGCUUAACUCGUGGCCUGCAGUUGAGACUGUCUGGCUUGAGUGUGGGAGAGGAGAGUGGAAUUCCCGGUGUAGCGGUGAAAUGCGCAGAUAUCAGGAGGAACACCUAUUGCGAAGGCAGCUCGCUGGGACGUAACUGACGCUGAGACGCGAAAGCGUGGGGAGCAAACAGG
rnacentral:rRNA from 1 species